UACGUAGGGGGCAAGCGUUGUCCGGAAUCAUUGGGCGUAAAGAGCGUGUAGGCGGCCCGGUAAGUCCGCUGUGAAAGUCCAGGGCUCAACCCUGGGAUGCCGGUGGAUACUGUCGGGCUCGAGUCCGGAAGAGGAGUGUGGAAUUCCUGGUGUAGCGGUGAAAUGCGCAGAUAUCAGGAGGAACACCGGUGGCGAAGGCGGUUCUCUGGGCCUUACCUGACACUGAGGGGCGAAAGCGUGGGGAGCGAACAGG
rnacentral:rRNA from 1 species